UGCAGAAUGUGAUUCUGGUGCUGACUGUUCAGCUUUGAGUACAGUACCUCUGUAGCCACCUCCUCAUCAAUAUGGAAACUUGCAAAGAUUUUUAUUUAAUGUGUUUUUCAACUAAAAUGAAACAUUAAUCUGAGAAUUCUGCUGGGACAGUGUGGAUAUAUGAGAGAAAGGGGACACAACAGCCCUCCUCAAAUGGAAGAUUUCCAGGUGACAAGCAGCUAGACAAGGAGGGAUGUGAAGCUCAGUCAGAGAGUGAGAAAGACUGCCCCCAAAGCAGCUCCUGCAGGUGAAAUCCCUUCCCAGGUUCCUCAGAUCUACAGGAAUGGAAGACACAAAAUUGGCCUGUUAAGGAGACUCCCAUCAAGAUACAGAAGUAAGUCAACACUUACUGUGUAAUAGCAGAUUUGUUCACUUUCUUCAAUAGGACACAAUGAAGUAAGCCAUAUUUUAGCAGAACUAGUUUUUCACCCAAAGCCAGAAUUCAGACAACUUAAUCACAUACACACAGUCUCCUGGCACACGCAAUUACUUAUGUGCCCAUAACACAGGAGUUAAGGUAGCACUCACACUAACGCUAUUUUCAUUUUUUUUUUCUCUGAGCAGUUGCCUCCUGGUCCAGAGCAUGGAAACCAAGCUGCUCUCUCAGCACAGAGGUCACUUUGGAUAGUCCUUCAUUCUCCCUGGAGCAAGAGCAUUUGAAAGGCAAGUGUGUGAAAUGAAACACUGGAAUGAGACAGCCAGUGCUUCCUACUCCCAGCCUGACCAAUACAAAGACAAGGAAACAUGAACAGCAUUUCUUUAUUUGUACUUCUUGUUUUUCAUCUUUCAGACUGACCCUAAGUUUAUAAAUUUGUAAACAUCCUGAAAUAAGUAAGUAAAAUGAAACAACCAUAUCUGUGGCUUUUGGAACUCAAAAACCAGUUUAUAAAGAUUUACUUUGCACAACCUUUUCUGUUUUCAGAAUGGAUUUUCUACUAACAAAAAGAAAAGACAGAAAAUAAAGGUCCUUUUAUCUACUAAUGGAGGGCUGUUCUCCUCCUUUUUACUGCUGCCUUGAGGUACUGCAAAAGAUUAAUCAUUUUCCUGUUGAAGAGUCAGCAUAAUUUCAAGAAUUUAAUAAUGCAAAACAUAGAACCUCUUUUUAAUGAUCUAAUCACUGUAUUUUUCCAUGAAAAUCUGUGAAUAAAUUAUACUAAAAAUUAA